rnacentral:rRNA from 1 species
AUUGAACGCUGGCGGCAUGCCUUACACAUGCAAGUCGAACGGCAGCACGGGAGCAAUCCUGGUGGCGAGUGGCGAACGGGUGAGUAAUAUAUCGGAACGUGCCCAGUCGUGGGGGAUAACGCAGCGAAAGCGGUGCUAAUACCGCAUACGAUCUACGGAUGAAAGCGGGGGAUCGCAAGACCUCGCGCGAUUGGAGCGGCCGAUAUCAGAUUAGCUAGUUGGUGGGGUAAAGGCCAACCAAGGCGACGAUCUGUAGCUGGUCUGAGAGGACGACCAGCCACACUGGAACUGAGACACGGUCCAGACUCCUACGGGAGGCAGCAGUGGGGAAUUUUGGACAAUGGGCGCAAGCCUGAUCCAGCAAUGCCGCGUGCAGGAUGAAGGCCUUCGGGUUGUAAACUGCUUUUGUACGGAACGAAACGGCCCUUUCUAAUACAGGGGGCUAAUGACGGUACCGUAAGAAUAAGCACCGGCUAACUACGUGCCAGCCGCCGCCGUAA